rnacentral:rRNA from 1 species
UACGAAGGGGGCUAGCGUUGUUAGGAAUCACUGGGCGUAAAGCGCACGUAGGCGGAUCUUUAAGUCAGGGGUGAAAUCCCGAGGCUCAACCUCGGAACUGCCUUUGAUACUGGGGAUCUCGAGUCCGGGAGAGGUGAGUGGAACUGCGAGUGUAGAGGUGAAAUUCGUAGAUAUUCGCAAGAACAUCAGUGGCGAAGGCGGCUCACUGGCCCGGAACUGACGCUGAGGUGCGAAAGCGUGGGGAGCAAACAGG